CAAACAGCGGCUCCUUCCCGCCGGUGUUUGCUCAGCCAAUAUUGACUCUGCUCCCAACGCGGAGCCCGCUGUUCCCAGCGGGAUCCGAGGAGCGUCGGGACAACGCGGAGAUAACGGCGUGCGUGUCCCGCCGAGGGAGAGCGCCGGAAUGCCGCUGGGAAAAGGCCAUGAGAGAUGGGGAUGUGGCACUCUGGGAUCCUCCAAACAUCCCAAGGAUAUGGAAUUGUCUGCUCUGUUAAUUCCUGCUGUACGGAAGGAGAAAAGCGGGAUGGAGAAUGAUCCACACGAUUUCCCCUCAGGAUACCCAAACGCAUCCCCGCAACAAGAGACAAUUCUUAUUCCAAAGCCUUUUUCCAGGUGGGACGCUCCAGCUCCACCCUUUUCCCAGGAAAAAGAGCCCAAGCCUGGAAGUGUCCGAGGUUGGGUUGGACAGGGCUUGGAGCAGCCUGCGAUAGCGGGAGGUGUCCCUGCCCUCCCAACCCCGACCAUCCAUGAUUCCAUGAUGAAUCCAUCAUUCCAUGGUUUUGGGAGGCUGUUUCCAUCCAUUUUCCUCCUCGUGGGCUGGAUCCAGGCCCUGCCUGUGUUUGGGUGUCAUUCCUGGCAUCUCCCGUUCCUUUGGGCUGCAGAUGAAAAUCCCCCAGUUUUCCAACAGCUCCUUGAGCCAAUUCCCAGCCGGCCAUUCCCGCCUGGCAGUGUCUCCCGAAAAACAUUCGGCUUCUCCUGUUCCUCUUUGUUUCAAUCCAGCCUUGCCUGGAGUCCUCCCAGGAAUUUUUUUUCCCUGGUUUUUUUUUCCCUGUUUUUUUUUUUUUUUUUUGCCUGGGGUGUUUUCCACGCUGAUAACACCCCCGAGGAGUCACCUGCCCAAACACGCUCCCAUCCCCAGGGCCAAAGUUCGGGAAUUGCACCCUGCCCCGGAGCCAGGCUCAGCCAAAGCCCUCUUAGGCCCCGCCUAAUUAACCCCAGCCUUAUUAGCGGAUAAUCGCCGCAGAUUUAAGCAAAUUAUCCGCAAUAAAGGCGGGACAACAAUGGCA
rnacentral:lncRNA from 1 species